GUUUAUAGCCUCACGCACAUAAUUUUCUUUCUGACUUAAGCAUCGGAGGGGCGACGAGAACAUAGCUCGUUGCCUUGAUUUCAAGUACAUGAAGACUACGAUCGUGCUCAUUCAAAAUUCUCAAGCUCGAAAAAUCAACAGGUACGAUUUUUGGUAGCAUAAUUGGCGCUGUCUGUGGGAAACGCUACCAAAAGUGAUGGUUAACACACGAUCCGGUCUUCCUCCUACAAGCUCAUCCGCCCCCAUCCCUUAUCCUGCUGAAGAUUAAUCGGCUCCUCAAGAAAAGUCGUCAGGAGUGCCCGCACCUCAGCCGGCGGCCAUCACAACUGAAGCCUUCGAAGAACUCCGUCAGCAGGUGGUCACACUAAUGCAACUGUUAAGUUAAAGAAAUUCGUAUUCGUUACCGGUGCAAGUAGAGCAUGGUAAUUUUAUGGCUGAUGCUCGAGCCCGAGCACCAAACCUGGCAACAGGUAGAGUAGGGACCACGGGUAUUCGUAACAUGGCCUCGGGCUCGAGAUCGGUUGCUAUGGAUUCCAAAGAGAUUGCCUGGAUCAUUCAGGAAGGAAUUACGGCUGGCCUGCAACGAAAUGCUCGGAGGCCAACAGGUUUUACCCCUAACACUCCAUUCACACCGGAGAUAUUGUCAGAUCCCCUGCCCGACAGAUUCAAAUAUCCUCGCAUUAAGUAGUAUGAUGGGACGAUUGAUCCAAUUAAUCAUCUCAAUUAUUAUUAUUUAUGUGUUCAUGCGCCAUCUGUUAUUGUUUAUAAAAUUUUGAUAAGUUGCGUAUUUGGUGGCUCAUAUAUAGCUCACAAUUGAUUAUUCAGUAUAAGUGAGGUGAUUUACAUUUUUUUUAUUUUACUAUAUUUUUAACAGUAUAUCUUGAAUAAAAUUAAUGACAAAAUAAUUCCUGAAAUUAUAUCAAGUACUAGGUAUGUAAUUUCAUCUAAAAAAAAUAUCUAUUAUUCUAUAUCAAAU
rnacentral:lncRNA from 1 species